AACAAGUACAGUUUUGCACGGUUAUGUCCAACGUUUGACAGUCCGCUUUAAUUGAAUUUUUUUAUGAUUAUUAUUUUUUUACUAGAUGAUAAAACAUGAAUAAUGCUUGAUAUAUAACUUAAAAAAAUUUAUAAAAUUUUCAAAUAAGACGGAUGGUUAAACGUUGAAUAUGAAAAUCCACGAUUGCACUUAUC
rfam:Oryza meridionalis cultivar OR44 (W2112) chromosome 1, whole genome shotgun sequence.